CAGAGAUGAAAACAGAAGAUAUGAACGAUGACACUGUGGGCUGUUUUUGGUGUGUGCUGGUCCUGAUGAUACAGGCCAGCAGCAUUGCAAACACUGUUGACAAUGCAUUUUCGAAAGGGAGACGUGGAUUUUUUUCGUUGGUGCCCCUAAGUAGCAAGCAGCCUGUGUGACUGUGCAAGCAAUGCAAUGGAUUUGAAAGCAGAGCCUGUAAUUACACUAGGUUAUCAAAAGAAGAAGAGCAUCUCAAAUGGCAGGAGACUUCCAUCAUUCUGUGACUUUAUGGGAUGACAUGCCCAGACCUCUUCCAGUCGGGACUCAGCAACGGUGAACACUAGGAUCUGAGAGUGGGAAGUACUCUUGGAUCGCACAGUUUAGACAUAGCUUCACUGAAGUUCUCCUUCCUUCCUUACGUCCUUCCCUCCGUCCUUCCUUCCCCCUGUCCUUCCGUCCUUCCUCCCCCCCCACAUUUUUGCAUCUCAUGGACUCUGAAUUUAAUUACUGCAACUUACUUACAUGGUUGUUUCUGCUCUGUAUGAGUGACCAGUGAAACGAAUGGGAGGAUGAGCUGAUUUCAAAACAAUUUUUGAAGGAGAAAACACACAUUAGACACCAUUCUAAUCUCACAGUAUUUGCAUUCAGGUGUCAUUUUGCCAGUGUCAAUGGAGCUGCAAGAACAGGCUUCCUUGUGCCAGUGAAAACUUAAUUACAAGGCAGAGUUAGACUGGGAUGUUUCUGGCUAGGGUGACAUGGGGAAGACUAACAGAAUAUAAUAGCUGACCACGUAGAUUGAUGAGUUUCUCAGCUGCUCUGCAAUGGGUGCAGAAAAACUGAUGUUAGAGAACAAGACUUAUUUCAAAUGAAUUGCAGGAGAGUUAACUGCACUUAUGAUGUAGAAAUGCAGCAACUUUCUAGGAAACACAGCUGGGGCUGGCUAGCUCCUAGAUUCGGGUCAAGCCAUGAGGUCUGGCAGUGUUUUUCCAGUAGCAGUGUCUGGGAGAGGUUUGCUGGUGUCAGGAAUCCAUUCCUUGACUCUCUUUGAAACCACCAUCUUCUCAUUCGUUUUACUGCACCAGUCUUGAACUGGAAACUCUUGUGAUUUGCUAUUGCCCAAGUUCCUAAAACACUGACAGCAUUUUUCCUGGUGCAUGUUUAGUGUGGGCUGAUAAAACCAAGCCACGGCAAGCAGUGAAACUGGGGAGGAAUCUUCAUUUGCAUUUUAUUUCCUUGCUAACUACAAACUGAAGAAAGAGAAAACAGUGCAAAGACCUGGAUGGCAGCUGAAGUUUUGAAUAGCCCUUUAAAAACAAAACAAGAACAACCCCUCAACCAAGUUUUUGCUGGAUACCGUCCACAGCCCUCUGAUCAGCCUUAUAUGUUGUGGGCUAAGCAUCAUACAUGGUAAAAAUAUCUAGCUGUGCUUUCCUCACUUGUGUUCCCAGACAGCUGGAGGCUAGAUAAUGGUAUGCUAUUAAAUACAAUAAUAACUCCCAGCAGUGCCAACAUACAGCCAUGUGUUCUGAAGAAGAAAAAUUAGAGUGCUUAAAUGUUUUAAAACAUUUAUCUCCUGGUGGGAAAAAUGAUCCCUUUUAAGUAACGCUGACUGUCAUGUUCUCCAGCUAGAAUAAACAGACAGGAUCUUCUGGCACAGGAGACUGAAAGUAAAUUUGAUCUUUGGUGUAAUAAAAUUAACAAGUUAAAAGCUUAUUCUGCUAUUAUUUCUAAUAGAUUAACAGCAUCUUGUGCUAUAGCCAGCAAAGUAUGAUUAAACAAACAAAAGCUGCAGUUGAUACAAAGACAUGCAUAGAGCUCCUAUAUCUAAGGUAGAUUUUCAUCAAAAUCUAAUCUUCCAUGUUUUACUUAUUAUUGUGUAAUUGAAACAUAUUUACACUGUGUAAGCAAGGGCAAAUUUAUCUGCUAUGUGUGCAGUUGCUGAGGAGAGUCAUCUAGUGCCGUUUCAGAAUGCUUUGCUAAAACAUCUCACAGCUAUGUCAGAGCUUAUUUGACAGUCAAAACAAUCAUGUGAUUAACAAAAGCACAUUAGAAAACUGCAUUGUUGGAUUUUUGUUUUGUCAAAAAAAGUCAUUCAGACUCAAUUAUAACUACUUAGAUAUUGAUUGAAAAAAAUGAAAUUGGUGUAAGAACACUCUUCUUUGAGGAAAAAAAAGAUGACCUGAACAUAACUGUUUUUGACUUUGACUUGAAAUCCUAGAUAAAAGCAAAAGCUUUCAUAACUGUAUGGUGUCUUGACAACAAAAGCAUUUCAUAUAAUUAAAAGACUGCUAUAUACAAAGCAA